AGUGAACGCUGGCGGUAGGCCUAACACAUGCAAGUCGAACGGCAGCACAGUAAGAGCUUGCUCUUACGGGUGGCGAGUGGCGGACGGGUGAGGAAUACAUCGGCAUCUACUUUUUCGUGGGGGAUAACGUAGGGAAACUUACGCUAAUACCGCAUACGACCUACGGGUGAAAGCAGGGGAUCUUCGGACCUUGCGCGAUUGAAUGAGCCGAUGUCGGAUUAGCUAGUUGGCGGGGUAAAGGCCCACCAAGGCGACGAUCCGUAGCUGGUCUGAGAGGAUGAUCAGCCACACUGGAACUGAGACACGGUCCAGACUCCUACGGGAGGCAGCAGUGGGGAAUAUUGGACAAUGGGCGCAAGCCUGAUCCAGCCAUACCGCGUGGGUGAAGAAGGCCUUCGGAUUGUAAAGCCCUUUUGUUGGGAAAGAAAAGCAGCAGGUGAAUACCCCGCUGUUCUGACGGUACCCAAAGAAUAAGCACCGGCUAACUUCGUG
rnacentral:rRNA from 1 species